rnacentral:rRNA from 1 species
GAUGAACGCUAGCGGCAGGCUUAACACAUGCAAGUCGAGGGGCAUCACGGGUAGCAAUACCUGGUGGCGACCGGCGCAAGGGUGCGUAACGCGUGAGCAACAUGCCCUAUACAGGGGGAUAAUCCAGGGAAACUUGGUCUAAUAUCCCAUAGCAUUUAGAGGUGGCAUCACCAUUAAAUUAAAGCUUCGGUGGUAUAGGAUUGGCUCGCGUGACAUUAGCUAGAUGGUGGGGUAACGGCUCACCAUGGCUAUGGUGUCUAGGGGUUCUGAGAGGAAGACCCCCCACACUGGGACUGAGACACGGCCCAGACUCCUACGGGAGGCAGCAGUGAGGAAUAUUGGACAAUGGAUGGAAAUCUGAUCCAGCCAUGCCGCGUGCAGGAAGACGGCCCUAUGGGUUGUAAACUGCUUUUAUAUGGGAGCAAUAAGGUCUACGAGUAGACCGAUGAGAGUACCAUAUGAAUAAGCAUCGGCUAA